rnacentral:rRNA from 1 species
UGGGGAAUAUUGCACAAUGGAGGGAACUCUGAUGCAGCGACGCCGCGUGAACGAAGAAGGCUUUCGAGUCGUAAAGUUCUUUUAUAUGGGAAGAUAAUGACGGUACCAUAAGAAAAAGCCCCGGCUAACUACGUGCCAGCAGCCGCGGUAAUACGUAGGGGGCUAGCGUUGUCCGGAUUCACUGGGCGUAAAGGGUUCGCAGGCGGAAAUGCAAGUCAGGUGUAAAAGGCAGUAGCUUAACUACUGUAAGCAUUUGAAACUGCAUAUCUUGAGAAGAGUAGAGGUAAGUGGAAUUUUUAGUGUAGCGGUGAAAUGCGUAGAUAUUAAAAGGAAUACCGGUGGCGAAGGCGACUUACUGGGCUCAUUCUGACGCUGAGGAACGAAAGCGUGGGUAGCAAACAGG